rnacentral:rRNA from 1 species
GAAGGUGUGCUGUGAGGCAUGCUGGAGGUAUCAGAAGUGCGAAUGCUGACAUAAGUAACGAUAAAGCGGGUGAAAAGCCCGCUCGCCGGAAGACCAAGGGUUCCUGUCCAACGUUAAUCGGGGCAGGGUGAGUCGACCCCUAAGGCGAGGCCGAAAGGCGUAGUCGAUGGGAAACAGGUUAAUAUUCCUGUACUUGGUGUUACUGCGAAGGGGGGACGGAGAAGGCUAUGUUGGCCGGGCGACGGUUGUCCCGGUUUAAGCGUGUAGGCUGGUUUUCCAGGCAAAUCCGGAAAAUCAAGGCUGAGGCGUGAUGACGAGGCACUGCGGUGCUGAAGCAACAAAUGCCCUGCUUCCAGGAAAAGCCUCUAAGCAUCAGGUAACAUCAAAUCGUACCCCAAACCGACACAGGUGGUCAGGUAGAGAAUACCAAGGCGCUUGAGAGAACUCGGGUGAAGGAACUAGGCAAAAUGGUGCCGUAACUUCGGGAGAAGGCACGCUGAUAUGUAGGUGAAGUCCCUCGCGGAUGGAGCUGAAAUCAGUCGAAGAUACCAGCUGGCUGCAACUGUUUAUUAAAAACACAGCACUGUGCAAACACGAAAGUGGACGUAUACGGUGUGACGCCUGCCCGGUGCCGGAAGGUUAAUUGAUGGGGUUAGCGCAAGCGAAGCUCUUGAUCGAAGCCCCGGUAAACGGCGGCCGUAACUAUAACGGUCCUAAGGUAGCGAAAUUCCUUGUCGGGUAAGUUCCGACCUGCACGAAUGGCGUAAUGAUGGCCAGGCUGUCUCCACCCGAGACUCAGUGAAAUUGAACUCGCUGUGAAGAUGCAGUGUACCCGCGGCAAGACGGAAAGACCCCGUGAACCUUUACUAUAGCUUGACACUGAACAUUGAGCCUUGAUGUGUAGGAUAGGUGGGAGGCUUUGAAGUGUGGACGCCAGUCUGCAUGGAGCCGACCUUGAAAUACCACCCUUUAAUGUUUGAUGUUCUAACGUUGACCCGUAAUCCGGGUUGCGGACAGUGUCUGGUGGGUAGUUUGACUGGGGCGGUCUCCUCCUAAAGAGUAACGGAGGAGCACGAAGGUUGGCUAAUCCUGGUCGGACAUCAGGAGGUUAGUGCAAUGGCAUAAGCCAGCUUGACUGCGAGCGUGACGGCGCGAGCAGGUGCGAAAGCAGGUCAUAGUGAUCCGGUGGUUCUGAAUGGAAGGGCCAUCGCUCAACGGAUAAAAGGUACUCCGGGGAUAACAGGCUGAUACCGCCCAAGAGUUCAUAUCGACGGCGGUGUUUGGCACCUCGAUGUCGGCUCAUCACAUCCUGGGGCUGAAGUAGGUCCCAAGGGUAUGGCUGUUCGCCAUUUAAAGUGGUACGCGAGCUGGGUUUAGAACGUCGUGAGACAGUUCGGUCCCUAUCUGCCGUGGGCGCUGGAGAACUGAGGGGGGCUGCUCCUAGUACGAGAGGACCGGAGUGGACGCAUCACUGGUGUUCGGGUUGUCAUGCCAAUGGCACUGCCCGGUAGCUAAAUGCGGAAGAGAUAAGUGCUGAAAGCAUCUAAGCACGAAACUUGCC